UACGGAGGGGGUUAGCGUUGUUCGGAAUUACUGGGCGUAAAGCGCGCGUAGGCGGACUAUUAAGUCAGAGGUGAAAUCCCGGGGCUCAACCCCGGAACUGCCUUUGAUACUGGUAGUCUUGAGUUCGAGAGAGGUAAGUGGAAUUCCGAGUGUAGAGGUGAAAUUCGUAGAUAUUCGGAGGAACACCAGUGGCGAAGGCGGACUUACUGGCUGAUACUGACGCUGAGGUGCGAAAGUGUGGGGAGCAAACAGGAUUAGAUACCCGGGUAGUCC
rnacentral:rRNA from 1 species